rnacentral:lncRNA from 10 species
CGCGGAGGAGAUCCCCCAGCCGGGCGCGCGUGGGGGUGCGAGGGGGUGUGCUCGGUGUGUGCGCUUGGCGCUCUGGGCCGGACUGUGCAGCUAUUUCCCCGCGUGAGCCUUCGCUUGCUCGCUCCCUCCUCACUUUCUCUCUCUCUCACUGGUUGGUCAACAAUAAAAAAGGAAGGGGGGCGAAAGGUUUCCAAAAAAAGUUGAUUGCAAAGAGGCGGUAGGUUUCCGGCCUCUCCCCGCAGCCGGGCUAUGUUCUGCUCCUUCUUCAGUUUCCUUGCACCUCCAGUCCAAAUCGGGAGGGGAGCGGGGCGGGGGGAGCUUCUCGCUUCUCCCCGGAUCCCGUCCUUCUUUUUCCUCUCAGCUUUCCUCACACUUGUCCGGCGGCUGCGGUAAUUAAAGCUCCGAGCGUCAUUUCCAGCGCUCCGCGGUCUCCAGCUGCAGCCCACAGAGAAAUUAAUAAGACUCCAGA